rnacentral:rRNA from 1 species
AGUGAACGCUGGCGGUAGGCCUAACACAUGCAAGUCGAACGGCAGCACAGUAAGAGCUUGCUCUUACGGGUGGCGAGUGGCGGACGGGUGAGGAAUACAUCGGAAUCUACUUUUUCGUGGGGGAUAACGUAGGGAAACUUACGCUAAUACCGCAUACGACCUACGGGUGAAAGCAGGGGAUCUUCGGACCUUGCGCGAUUGAAUGAGCCGAUGUCGGAUUAGCUAGUCGGCGGGGUAAAGGCCCACCAAGGCGACGAUCCGUAGCUGGUCUGAGAGGAUGAUCAGCCACACUGGAACUGAGACACGGUCCAGACCCCUACGGGAGGCAGCAGUGGGGAAUAUUGGACAAUGGGCGCAAGCCUGAUCCAGCCAUACCGCGUGGGUGAAGAAGGCCUUCGGGUUGUAAAGCCCUUUUGUUGGGAAAGAAAAGCAGCAGGUUAAUACCCCGCUGUUCUGACGGUACCCAAAGAAUAAGCACCGGCUAACUUCGUG